GAUGAACGCUGGCGGUGUGCCUAACACAUGCAAGUCGAGCGAAAAGACGAGGAGAUCGCGCCCCUGCGGUUAGCGGCGGACGGGUGAGUAAGACGUGGAUAACCUACUUAUAAGACUGGGAUAACUUCGGGGAAACGGAGAUAAUACAGGAUCAUAUAUUGAACGGUAUGGUUCAAUAGUGAAAGAGGGUUUUGCUGAUAGUUAUAGAUGGUUCCGUGUCGGAUUAGCUAGUUGGUAAGGUAACGGCUUAGCAAGGCAACGAUGCGUAGCUGAUCUGAGAGGAUGAUCAGCCACACUGGAACUGAGACACGGUCCAGACUCCUACGGGAGGCAGCAGUGGGGAAUCUUCCACAAUGGGCGCAAGCCUGACGCAGCAACGCCGCGUGAGUGAUGAAGGUCUUCGGAUUGUAAAACUCUUUUAUUGGGGAAGAACAGCAGUAUGUUUAACCAUGCACGUCUUGACGGUACCCAAAGAAAAAGCCACGGCUAACUUCGUG
rnacentral:rRNA from 1 species